rnacentral:rRNA from 1 species
AUACGGAGGAUGCGAGCGUUAUCCGGAUUUAUUGGGUUUAAAGGGAGCGUAGGCGGGAGCUUAAGUCAGCGGUUAAAUGGUGCGGCUCAACCGUGCCCUGCCGUUGAAACUGGGUUUCUUGAGAGUGCAAGAGGCGGAUGGGAUUCCUGGGGGUGCGGGGAAAUGCUUAGAUAUCAUGAAGAACUCCGAUUGCGAAGGCAGUCCGCUGGGGCACGUCUGACGCUGAUGCUCGAAGGUGCGGGAAUCAAACAGGAUUAGAUACCCUGGUAGUCCGCACGGUAAACGAUGAUUACCCGCUGUCGGCGGUAGACAGUCGGCGGCCAAGCGAAAGCGAUAAGUAAUCCACCUGGGGAGUACGCCGGCAACGGUGAAACUCAAAUGAAUUGGCGGGG